AUACGGAGGAUCCGAGCGCUAUCCGGAUUUAUUGGGUUUAAAGGGUGCGCAGGCGGCCAUUUAAGUCAGCGGUUAAAUCGUGGGGCUCAACCCCAUUCUGCCGUUGAUACUGGGUGGCUUGAUUGCGGUCGAGGUUGGCGGAAUUCGUUGUGUAGCGGUGAAAUGCAUAGAUAUGACGAAGAACACCGAUUGCGUAGGCAGCUGACCAGAUCGCAAAUGACGCUCAUGCACGAAAGUGCGGGGAUCGAACAGGAUUAGAUACCCUGGUAGUCCGCACAGUAAACGAUGAAUACUUGUUUUCGGCGAUAUAAUGUCGGAGGCAAAGCGAAAGCGAUAAGUAUUCCACCUGGGGAGUACGCCGGCAACGGUGAAACUCAAAUGAAUUGACGGGG
rnacentral:rRNA from 1 species